AAUAUAGACAUAGAUAUAUCGAAUCUAAACCGACUAGCAUUGACUCUAAAGUCAAAGGUUUCCACGCUGCCAUUAAUUUACUAGAGCAGCAACACGUGUGCUCUUCAACGCUCCACCCGAUGCCCCUCAUAAUUCUUACUUCUAUAUGUAGCCAAAACCUACAAAAGGUAAAAAGAGGAACAGUCAUCGUUACCGCAGAGUCUCCUAAGCGAGCGACCAGUUUCUAUCUGCUCAGCUUCCAUAUGUAUUUCGUAGGAAGAUCCACCACACAAAAAGAGUCCGCUAAAGAGCAGCGAUUAGGAAAAAGUCCCAUCGUGAAGAAUCAGAAAAAUAAUAAU